rnacentral:lncRNA from 1 species
AUCCUGAAAGACAAGCAUAUUUCUUUGAAAAGUGGAGGGCUUUACUGAGAUAUAAUUUACAUACUGUAAAUUACCCAUACAUGUUGCUUUCCUGAAGUAAACAUUUAUCAUUAACUCUUCAACUUUAGUGUGUGUGAGAUUAGGAGAAAGGGUGAACAUUGUUGAUUUUGGUUAACUCUGGAUUACUAAUAUGGCUAAAGAUCCUGGAAAGUGAUAGAGUCAUUAAGGUGGCAUUCUGAAAAUGGGCUCCUCAGAUCUUAAGUUCUUCAGGUUAUUAAUAGGUGUUAUGCCACCAAAGGAUUCAUGAUCAAAGAAGUUUGGGAAACAUGGUUUUAAACAAAGGUAAAUAAUUUUCUUUCUUCUUGACUGCUAAGAGCCUUUAAUAUGCUAAUGUGCAAUAAGAUCAGGAGGAGUAUAUAUGUUUAAGGUUUUGGGGAUUUUUCCCCCUGAGUGGUUGGAAUUGCAGUUGUUUAAAUCUUCUUCAGACUUUUUGGUCUGAAAAUUUUAGGGUUCAAAAUCAUUUAUCAUGUACAUAAAAUAUUUAGAAGUACAACAAAAAUUCAAAUACACUUCUGUAUACAGUUAGCACUUCUAACCUAUGGGAAGGAAGUGUGAUAGACAACUCUGCUGUUAUUGAACUAAAUCUGACCCAGUCUUCACCAAGAAAGAAGGUAGGAGGAAGAGUGACCUAUCUAAUAAACAUAAGUGUUUGGAUUAUAAGAAUGAGAAACUUGGCAGAAAAAAGAAAAUUUCUUUAAAAAAGCAAAGUUUCCAACCUCUGUUUUAAAUUACUCAUAUAUGAUAUUUGUGGAACAAUAAUAGAGCAGGAUUUCUUUAAACUAAAACGUGUUAUCUGAGGGAAAUUCUCACUAAUGUCUCUUCCUUCCUCUCAGAGCUUUUCAACAAAUCCAACAAGAAUAUUUCUCUGCUAGUAUAGGACUGGAGUCUACUAUCUGCAUGAACCGGCUCUUCCUCAGUCCGUCACAUUGCUCAAUACACCACAUAUCAAAGAAGCUCAGACUUACAUCAGCUAAGAAGAUUGGGAAUAUCACUACAACAACCCUUCCAAGAGAAGAAAGGGUUAACAAUACAGAGGAAAUCUGGUUUCAGAACAAUGGGGAACUAAUAUAGAAUAGUGGUUAAGAGUAUGGGUUCUGGAGCCAGACAAAUAAGAGUUUUAAUCCUGUCUGCCACUUGCUAGCUGGGUAAUCCUGUAUCACCUGCCUUCUCUAAUUCUCAUUUUUAGCAACCAUAAAAUAAGGAAUAUAAUGUCUCCCUCGUAGCAUAUAGAUGAAAUGAACUAAUAAGGGAAAGCAUCUGCACAGUGCCUGCCACCAAAUUUUUCAAUAAAUGGUAGCAGUUAAUAUCAAAUUGAAGUUAUUCUGUAUUUCCAGAUACAUAAAAAUACAGAGAUUUUAAGUUGUAAUGGCAUUUUUUUUUAUUUUUAUUUUUAUUUAUUUAUGAUAGUCACAGAGAGAGAGAGAGAGAGAGGCAGAGACACAGGCAGAGGGAGAAGCAGGCUCCAUGCACUGGGAGCCCGACGUGGGAUUCGAUCCCGGGUCUCCAGGAUCGCGCCCUGGGCCUAAAACAGGCGCUAAACCGCUGCGCCACCCAGGGAUCCCUGUAAUGGCAUUUUAACAUUAUAGUAGUUAUAAUAUGCUAAGGAAUACUUUUUCAUUAUGAGAACAAAUUGCUUCAGGUGAUUUACUUCCUAUCUUUACUUCUGGUUUCCAUUGAUGAAUCAUUACAAAUUUGUGCAAAUUUCAAGUAUAUUGCCUAAGGCUUUUUAUAAAAAAUGUUCAUUUCUUUAUUAAUACAUAUAUAUAUAUAAAAUUUUAGAUAAUACAUAAAUGUGAACACAUACGUAUCUUUAGUGAUAGUUUUUAAAAAUCUCUCUCUUCCCCCACUUCAGCCUUUUAUUCCCCACUUCCAUGGUAGUCCAUGUUAACAGCCUAAUAUGUACCCAUCCAUUUUUUCUCUUGAUUUAUAUAAAUACCUUCAAUUCAUUGGGGUAUAACAUGAAUUCAUACUUUAAUAGCAGCACAAUAAUCCACAGUUCAGAUAUAACAAUAUCUAUCUAGCAUUUCCCCAAUUAUUGAGCGAUCAUUUUGUUUUCAUUUCUUGGCGCUACAAAUUAUGCUACAAUAAACAUCCUUAAGUGUCUUUAUCUACUGAUGUGAUUAUUUCAUUGGGAUAUAUUCCCAGGAGUAGGAUUGCUAGGUUGAAGGAAAUGUGCAUUUUAAAUUUUAAUAGAUAUUGAUAAGUCUUUUCCACUAGAAGCAAGAAAUGUAAAAACAUUUUAUGUCACUUUUACCAAAAAUGCCACUUAUAUAUAACAGUUAUGUAACAAUAAAUGUGCAAUACUUUUGAAAAAAACAAUAAACUUCUGGUAAGGAAGUUUAAAACAAAGAUGCAUUCCAUUGGGAUAUGUUCUCCUUUUUAAUUACUGUAAUUGGGAAGUGGAUUUGAGUAGGAGAUGGGGGCAGGGGAGAGGAGACUUUAAAAAGAAAGGAUACUGAAAUAGAAAUCUUUCCAAGUUUACUUUCAUCAAUAGGUGACUUUCCCCUCCAUAAGUGUGCUGUUCUAAAACAGGAUGUCUGAGCAUCCUGGUAAUACACAAUCAUGUGGCUGUUACACACUUUUUUUUGCAAGUUCAUUGGCAUAUUCUUUUGGCUACAUGUUUUGUGGUGUGCAGCAUACUAAUUUUUACUACUUAAACAUUUUUCAUUAAUUUUCUGUAGUAAGGAGUGGAGAAAGGAGACAGUUCCAAGAACAAAGGCUGUC